CGCGGCCACGCCUCCCUCCCCAGCCCCACCACGGCACCACCUCACUGCGCAGCUGACACCCACGCCCGCGCCCCUAAAAUUAAGAAGGGAACUCCGGAAUCGCUCGAGGUGGUGGGGCGAGCUCGCGCGAGGAGGGGGCGCGAGAAGCUUCUGGUGGUGGUGGUGACCCUCGCCGUCGAAGCGGGCGGAGAGAAGAGAGGAGCGGGGAUCGCGCGGCGGAAGGGGGGAGGCGGUGGAUGGCGGUGGAGUACCACUGCUGCUCGGCGCCCUUCUUCGAGCACAUCGUCAUCAUCGUCGUGCUCGUGCUCUUCGCGGGCCUCAUGUCGGGCCUCACCCUCGGCCUCAUGUCCCUCAGCCUCGUCGACCUCGAGGUCCUCGCCAAGUCCGGCACCGACCAGGACCGCAAGCACGCAGCUAAGAUUUUGCCUGUUGUGAAGAAUCAGCACCUUCUGCUAUGCACUCUUCUGAUCUGCAAUGCUGCAGCCAUGGAGGCUUUGCCCAUAUUCCUUGAUAGCCUGGUGACUGCUUGGGGUGCGAUUUUGAUCUCAGUGACACUGAUUCUACUGUUUGGUGAGAUCUUACCACAGUCCAUCUGCUCACGUUAUGGGCUGGCUAUUGGUGCUUCAGUUGCUCCAUUAGUCCGUGUGCUUGUUUGGAUCUGCUUUCCUGUUGCCUAUCCUAUAAGCAAGCUACUAGACUGUGUGCUGGGUCAUGGUCAAACAGCUCUCUUCCGUAGAGCAGAGCUAAAAACACUUGUCACUCUGCACGGAAAUGAGGCUGGUAAAGGUGGAGAGUUAACCCAUGAUGAAACUACCAUAAUUGCUGGAGCUCUUGAACUCACAGAAAAGAAGGCUAAAGAUGCUAUGACACCAUUAUGUCAAACCUUUGCAAUUGAUAUAAAUGCAAAGCUUGACAGAGAACUGUUGCAAGAGGUCCUCGAGAAAGGGCAUAGCAGAGUACCAGUUUAUUAUGAAAAGAAGACAAAUAUUAUUGGAUUGAUAUUGGUGAAGAACUUAUUAUCAGUUAACGCUGAUCACGAGGUUCCUAUAAAAAGUGUAACUAUCCGCAAAAUUCCUCGUGUUUUUGAAGAUAUGCCCCUCUAUGACAUCCUAAAUGAGUUCCAGAAAGGCCACAGCCACAUGGCAGUGGUCAUAAGGAAAAACAUUCCCAAUGAAUCAGCUGAACAACCUGCCAAUGAUGGAGGAACUUUUGAUGUGACCAUUGCUAUUGAUGAAAAGAACAACGAAAAGGUCGUGAAGAACCUCCCGCCACCACUGCGAAGAUGGAAGAGCUACCCUAACACUCAGAACGUAUCGAAUAGAGGAAGCAGGCCUAAAAAAUGGUCCAAAGAUCAAUCAGAUGUCCUGCAGAUACACGAAGAGCCCCUGCCCACAUUGAGUGAAGAUGAAGAGGCUGUUGGUAUCAUAACCAUGGAGGAUGUCAUUGAGGAGCUUCUGCAGGAGGAGAUAUACGACGAGACAGACGUACAUGAGGAGCAAUGACACUGGCUUUACCGCCCGCUGUUUGUAUCUCCCUACUGGACCAGAGAAGCAGCUGUUAGAAAAGUGCGGCAUACGUAAUAUCUGUACUGUUUGUUGAUAGGUAGAUACAUCGAGGGAUACUAGCCGUUCAUUGUAGUGCCAGGUGGCUGUCUAGGAUAUUGGUAAGCGUUCGGUUUGGAGUUUGGAGUGCGUUGGUCUCAGAACCGCAGCAUCGCCCUGGUCCGGACCCUGUACCGCCGACAUCCCUGGUAAGAAAUGGACCGAAAACUGUGCCGAGGAUCCUUGGUGGGGAGCUUCCGCCAGGUUUUGUACAGAUCUCAACCUUUUGAAGCACGUAGGCAGGUACAGUCAACGGAAAGGAGCAGCGACGGUACGCCGCUCCUUGCCCCGCUGUAGCCUACGCUUGAGCACUCGCCUGUGAACACAGCGUGCGAGCGGGGGAGCCAGGGAUCGCCGCUGGACUGGAAUACUGGAUCUCCCGUGGCAGAAACUCGCUGGGGGCACGCGGUCUGGCUCGUGCGAUCCGCCAGCCCGGUACGGCGCGUGCGCGUGGGCCAAAUACCUUGGUCUCCUAGUUCUUCUGGCACUUGGUGGGUACGGACGGUGCAAUUGCGCCGCGUCCUGUGUGCUUUCUCAGUGGUGACACACAGCUGAGCUUGAACGGCGGCGAAACGAAUGGUCUCAUCCACGGGAGAUGCCACUAUAUCAGUGCAGUUGUGUUUGCAUC